rnacentral:rRNA from 1 species
GACGGGUGAGUAACACGUGGGUGAUCUGCCCUGCACUCUGGGAUAAGCCUGGGAAACUGGGUCUAAUACCGGAUAGGACCAUGCUUUAGUGUGUGUGGUGGAAAGUUUUUCGGUGUAGGAUGAGCCCGCGGCCUAUCAGCUUGUUGGUGGGGUAAUGGCCUACCAAGGCGGCGACGGGUAGCCGGACUGAGAGGUUGGUCGGCCACAUUGGGACUGAGAUACGGCCCAG